rnacentral:rRNA from 1 species
GCACGAAGUUAGCCGGGGCUUAUUCUUGCGGUACCGUCAUUAUCUUCCCGCACAAAAGAGCUUUACAACCCUAGGGCCUUCAUCACUCACGCGGCAUGGCUGGAUCAGGCUUGCGCCCAUUGUCCAAUAUUCCCCACUGCUGCCUCCCGUAGGAGUUUGGGCCGUGUCUCAGUCCCAAUGUGGCUGAUCAUCCUCUCAGACCAGCUACUGAUCGUCGCCUUGGUGAGCCAUUACCUCACCAACUAGCUAAUCAGACGCGGGCCGAUCUUUCGGCGAUAAAUCUUUCCCCGUAAGGGCUUAUCCGGUAUUAGCACAAGUUUCCCUGUGUUGUUCCGAACCAAAAGGUACGUUCCCACGCGUUACUCACCCGUCUGCCGCUGACGUAUUGCUACGCCCGCUCGACUUGCAUGUGUUAAGCCUGCCGCCAGCGUUCGCU